CGUUCAACCGCAAAACAAGCAGAGGGGGCUUAGUGGUGGGGUGACUGCGUACCUUUUGUAUAAUGGGUCAGCGACUUAUAUUCUGUAGCAAGGUUAACCGUAUAGGGGAGCCGGAGGGAAACCGAGUCUUAAUUGGGCGUUAAGUUGCAGGGUAUAGACCCGAAACCCGGUGAUCUAGCCAUGGGCAGGUUGAAGGUUGGGUAACACUAACUGGAGGACCGAACCGACUAAUGUUGAAAAAUUAGCGGAUGACCUGUGGCUGGGGGUGAAAGGCCAAUCAAACCGGGAGAUAGCUGGUUCUCCCCGAAAGCUAUUUAGGUAGCGCCUCGUGAAUUCAUCUCCGGGGGUAGAGCACUGUUUCGGCUAGGGGGCCAUCCCGGCUUACCAACCCGAUGCAAACUGCGAAUACCGGAGAAUGUUAUCACGGGAGACACACGGCGGGUGCUAACGUCCGUCGUGAAGAGGGAAACAACCCAGACCGCCAGCUAAGGUCCCAAAGUCAUGGUUAAGUGGGAAACGAUGUGGGAAGGCCCAGACAGCCAGGAUGUUGGCUUAGAAGCAGCCAUCAUUUAAAGAAAGCGUAAUAGCUCACUGGUCGAGUCGGCCUGCGCGGAAGAUGUAACGGGGCUAAACCAU
rnacentral:rRNA from 2 species